rnacentral:rRNA from 1 species
CAGUCGCCGCGGGAAUACAGAGGGUGCGAGCGUUAAUCGGAUUUACUGGGCGUAAAGCGUGCGUAGGCGGCUUCUUAAGUCGGAUGUGAAAUCCCUGAGCUUAACUUAGGAAUUGCAUUCGAUACUGGGAAGCUAGAGUAUGGGAGAGGAUGGUAGAAUUCCAGGUGUAGCGGUGAAAUGCGUAGAGAUCUGGAGGAAUACCGAUGGCGAAGGCAGCCAUCUGGCCUAAUACUGACGCUGAGGUACGAAAGCAUGGGGAGCAAACAGGAUUAGAGACCCCCGUAGUCCCUGUCUCUUAUAA